rnacentral:rRNA from 1 species
GUCAAGUCAUCAUGGCCCUUACGCCCAGGGCUACACACGUGCUACAAUGGCGCAUACAGAGUGUUGCGACCUGGUGACAGGAAGCCAAUCACAAAAAGUGCGUCUCAGUUCGGAUUGCAGGCUGCAACUCGCCUGCAUGAAGUUGGAAUCGCUAGUAAUCGCGCAUCAGCAAUGGCGCGGUGAAUACGUUCCCGGACCUU